AUUGAAUUUUAUGAUUUUGAGCUUUGUUUGUGGUGGAUGUUUUUGGAUGAGUCAGUAAGAAAGAGAACCAUGCAUUCUCAUUAUGACCAGAUAUUUCUGUCUUUUCAGAGACUGGCUACCACUUGCAUUUGUUUACUUCAGUAACGGGGAUAAGAUCUUUUCCAGACACGCAUUUUCCUUCAGCUAUAGCUUACCUGAGUGGAUAUAGAACAAGGGAGAAGUUGAAGAAGAGGACCAGGUGGUGGGAGCCAAAUUCCUCCAGUUCCGGCUGUGUCAUUAGAGGAGAGAGAAGGAUCAGUGAAAAUAUUCAUCCAAUCAAGUCUAAUGCAAAUAAAUGGGCGUUCGCUUUGUGGAGGAGUUGAAGUUCUUCCUGUUCCCAGGAUGGAGACAUCAGUCACCUUAGUGGGCCAUUUGAAAGACCACUGUGAGGCUGCUAUUUUGAUCAAAUCAGCUCCAG